ACAAGGUCUCCGUAGGUGAACCUGCGGAGGGAUCAUUACCGAGUUCAUGCCCUUACGGGUAGACCUCCCACCCUAUGUUAUCAUUACCUUUGUUGCUUUGGCGGGCCGCCAGGCUUCGGUCAGGCUAUCGGCUUCGGGUGGUAAGCGCCCGCCAGAGGACCCCAACAUCCUGAUUAUUAGUGUCGUCUGAGUACUAUGCAAUAGUUAAAACUUUCAACAACGGAUCUCUUGGUUCUGGCAUCGAUGAAGAACGCAGCGAAAUGCGAUAAGUAAUGUGAAUUGCAGAAUUCUAGUGAGUCAUCGAAUCUUUGAACGCACAUUGCGCCCUUUGGUAUUCCGAAGGGCAUGCCUGUUCGAGCGUCAUUAUCACCCCUCAAGCCCCGUGCUUGGUGUUGGACGGCUUGGUCGCGUCACCGCGACUCCUCCUAAAGACAAUGACGGCGGCCUGUGGUUCCCCCGGUACACUGAGCUUUUAAUUGAGCACGUAUUGGAUAAGGGCACCCGGGACCCGGUCUUCUCCCUUUAACCGGGAAAUUUUUCAAUGGUGACCUCGGAUCAGGUAGGAAUA
rnacentral:rRNA from 1 species